GAUGAACGCUGGCGGCGUGCCUAAUACAUGCAAGUCGAGCGAACGGACUAGAUCCUUUCUCCUCUGGUUUUAGCGGCGGACGGGUGAGUAACUCGUGGUUAACCUACCUCUAAGACUGGGAUAACUUCGGGAAACCGGAGCUAAUACCGGAUAAUAUUUUGAACCUCAUUGUUCCAGAGUUAAAGACGCUCUUUCUUUCCCUAAUAGAUUGCUCCGCGCUGCAUUAGUUAGUUGGUAAGGAAACGGCUUACCAAGGCAACGAGGAAUACCCGACCUGAACGGGUGAACGGACAACCGGGAAGUGAGAAACGGCCCAGACUCAUACGGGAGGAAGCAGUAGGGAAUCUUACGAAAAGGGGGAAAGCCGGACGGAGCAAAGCGGCGGGAGUGAUGAAGGUCUUAGGAUGGGAAAACUAUGUUAUUAGGGAGGAACAUAUGUGUAAGUAACUGGGCACAUAAUGACGGUACCUAAUCAGAAAGCCACGGCUAACUACGUG
rnacentral:rRNA from 1 species